rnacentral:rRNA from 1 species
AUUGAACGCUGGCGGCAGGCCUAACACAUGCAAGUCGAACGAGUGGCGGACGGGUGAGUAAUGUCUGGGAAACUGCCUGAUGGAGGGGGAUAACUACUGGAAACGGUAGCUAAUACCGCAUACCAUCAGAUGUGCCCAGAUGGGAUUAGCUUGUUGGUGGGGUAACGGCGCACCAAGGCGACGAUCCCUAGCUGGUCUGAGAGGAUGACCAGCUAAACUGUGACGGAGACACGGUCCAGAUUGCUAGGGGAGGCAGCAGUAGGGAAUAUUGCACAAUGGGGGCAAGCCUGAUGCAGCCAUGCCACGGAUAUGAAGAAGGCCUACGGGUUGUAAAGUACUUUCAGCGGGGAGGCGUUACCCGCAGAAGAAGCACCGGCUAACUCCGUGCCAGCAUCCGCGGUAAUAC